UUUAAGCUGUUUCUUUCCGGGUCCAGCGCCUGCUGCGAGCAACGCGCUGUUCUAGGGGCGAAGCCGAGAACUACUUCUCGUGGAGCUGAGGUUCAGCGGUGUGUGUGUGGGACACUCAAAAUAAACAUCAUAAAUAAGUAAAUUCGAUAAGAGGCUGCGUAGCAAAAUGGAGUCUGCAUCCAGAUUUAUUGGGUUUCAAUCCCAGAUUUGCCACUUACUAGCUGUGUUACCCCGAGCAAAUUGCUUCAUCCUUCCGUGCUUCACUUUCCUCCUCAGUUAAAUGAGGAUCAUCAUAGUGUCUACUUCAGUGUUGGUGUGAGAGUUGAAUGAGGAUAACUCUCUGGGAGCCCAGCUGCCAUGUUGUGAGGAAGCCCAAGCCACGUGAAGAGUCUCCCAGAUAAUGUCCCAGCCGAAACCAGCAUCAACCACCAGAGAAGUAAGUGAGUGAACAUUGAGAUGAUUCCAGCCCCCAGGCUUUGAGCCAUCCCAGCUAACACCAAGAGGCACAGAGAGAGAACUGUUCCCAUCAAGCCCGGCCCAAACUGCAGGACCCCAGAAGGCCAUCCCCAGAUUUUCAGGUUAAGAAGCUCCACAGCCUUUGUCACAUAGGGUGGCUAGCAGAUGUAUAAGUGAUGACACCUUAGUUGUUUCCUGCAGAAAUGUCGCUGUCCGGGCAUGGAGCUGGGUCCCCAGAGUCAGCGCUUAUGGCAUCGUUCACCAUCCUGUUAGCUGAGCAUUUGAUGCUGAGAUUGGUCUGUCACCAUCAGCUAUGUGACCUUUGGUGGCAGGGACUGGCCUUCUCUGUGCCUAAAGGCAAGCACAGUGCUGAGUGAAAUGAAGAAGAGAUAAGACCAUGGGUUCAG